ensembl:lncRNA
GUUGUUAAGGUCCUGGCAGGUCACAGAACACUGAGGUUGGGUUGUUAAGGUCCUUCAAGGUCAUAGAACAACAGGAUCACAGCAUGUUUGGGUUGUUAAGGUCCUUAAAGAUCACAGCACACUGAGGCUGUGUUGUUAAGGUCCUGGAAGGUCACAGAACCAUUAGACCACAACACGGUUGUGUUGAUAAGGUCCUGGCAGGUCAUAGAACACUGGGGUUGGGUUGAUAAGGUCCUGGCAGGUCACAGAACAGUGAGGUUGGGUUGGAAAGGUCCUUCAAGGUCAAAGAACCACGAGAUCAUGGAAUGGUUGUGUUGGAAAGGUCCUGGCAGGUCACAGGACACUGAGGUUGUGUUGGGAAGGUCCUGGCAGGUCACAGAACCAUGGGAUCAUGGAAUGGUGGGGUUGGAAAGGUCCUUAAAGAUCACAGAACACUGAGGUUGUGUUAUAAAGGUCUUGGCAGGUCACAACACACAGUUGUGCCGUUCAGGUCCUGUCAGGUCACAGCACACAGUUGUGCUGUUCAGGUCCUGGAAGGUCACAGAACCAUUAGAUCACAACAUGGUUGUGCCGUUCAGGUCCUUACAGAUCACAGCAUGGUUGUGUUGUUCAGGUCCUGGCAGGUCACAGGACACUGAGGUUGUGUUGUUAAGGUCCUUAAAGGUCACAGAAUAAUUAGAUCACAACACGGUUGUGUUGAAAGGGUCCUUAAAGAUCAAAGAACCAUGAGAUCAUGGAAUGGUUGGGUUGGGAGGGUCCUGGCAGGUCACAGAAAACUGAGGUUGGGUUGGACAGGUCCUUAAAGGUCACAGAACCAUGGGGUUGUAUUGUUAAGGUCCUUACAGAUCACAACACACAGUUGUGCCCUCCAGGUCCUGUCAGGUCACAACAUGGUUGUGCCGUUCAGGUCCUUACAGGUCACAGAACACAGAGGUUGUGCUGGAAAGGUCCUGAAAGGACAUAGAGAACAAUGGAAACAUGGGGUGGGGGGUUGGAAAGGUCCUUAAAGGGCAUAGAACAACAGGAACAUGGAAUGGGGGGGUUGGGAGGGUCCUGGCAGGUCAGAGAACACUGAGGUUGUGCUGGAAAGGUCCUGAAAGAUCAUGGAACACUGAGGUUGGGUUGGAAAGGUCCUUAAAGGUCACAGAACACUGGGGUUGUGUUGUUCAGGUCCUGGCAGGUCACAGAACCAUUAGAUCACAACAUGGUUGUGCCGUUCAGGUCCUUACAGAUCACAGCACACAGCUGUACCAUCCAGGUCCUGGCAGGUCACAACACACAGUUGUGCUGUCAGGUCCUGUCAGGUCACAGCACACAGUUGUGCCAUUCAGGUCCUGGCAGGUCACAGAACCAUUAGAUCACAACAUGGUUGUGCUGUUCAGGUCCUGUCAGAUCACAGCACACAGCUGUACCAUCCAGGUCCUGUCAGGUCACAACACACAGCUGUACCAUCCAGGUCCUUACAGAUCACAGCACACAGCUGUCCCAUCCAGGUCCUGUCAGAUCACAGCACACAGCUGUACCAUCCAGGUCCUGUCAGAUCACAGCACACAGUUGUACCAUCCAGGUCCUUACAGGUCACAACACACAGCUGUGCCAUCCAGGUCCUUACAGAUCACAACACACAGCUGUGCCAUCCAGGUCCUGGCAGGUCACAACACACAGCUGU